rnacentral:lncRNA from 1 species
UUUCCUCAAAGGUCUAAUGGGUCGCCAAAACAGAACCCCAACCAUUGUCGUUCUAUGGUCAGUGUUGCUGGCCUCUGUUUUCUCUCUUGUCUGGGUCCGAAUCAACCCAUUCAUUAACACCGUUGAUAGCACAAUCGUGGCCCAGACCUGCACUUCCAUUGAUUGCUAAGUUUUGAACACCGCAAAUUCAGUACAAAGAUGGGUAUUAUUUCCCAACAGGUGUGGAAGCCAAGCCAUAGAAAGAAAAUGGAUGUAACGUUUGUCUCCUUGAUUGGUAGAACUAUCAUAAUCUCAUGGCUCAUAGUAUUCAAUUUUAUAUUGUUUUGAAAAGGAUUUAUUGCCUUAAGAGUAUGACUGUUGGCAGGUUAAGACGUCUAUGUUUCACAUCAUUUGAUCUGGAAAAAAGAAUUUGGCCACCCGUAGGAUUCGGCCCCUUUGUACCAUACCAUGUUACAUGAACAAAUAACAGACAAAAAGAAUUUGAAGAAAAUAAAAAGGAAAAUCAUCCGUAUCUAUAUAGUUUGAUUAAUUGGAAAUUAGCUGUCAUUUGCUGACCGAAAACGGUUUAGACUUUAGAGAGUUGGAAACAGGAGCUUAAUAAUGGGAAAUGACAACCUUUAAUGUGAACUAGGUUAGAACUUGUUGAUUUUUGUCUAUAUUUUUCAUGUUAUGAGAAAUUCUGAUAAUUAGAGACCAACCAAUCAUUGACUCAUGUUUACAGGUUUUUUAGAAAUUAAAAAUAUAUUAAAAACAUAUCAUGGAACCCCAGUCACCAAUUAUAUAUAGUAUAUAAUUAUGGAGCAUAAUUACUUACUGUUGAGACAUCUCGAGAUUGAGACCAAAGUGUCUUAACUUCAACAUCUCAUCACUUCUCAAUUCUAACCACCCAAACUCAUCUUCUCUCCUCCACCAUGAAACAACCUCCGCCAUUGUUCUUCCUCCUCAUUCUUCUCUCCGCC